rnacentral:rRNA from 1 species
UACGUAGGGUGCGAGCGUUGUCCGGAAUUAUUGGGCGUAAAGAGCUCGUAGGCGGUGUGUUACGUCGGCCGUGAAAACCUGCAGCUUAACUGUGGGCGUGCGGUCGAUACGGGCAUCACUGGAGUUCGGCAGGGGAGACUGGAAUUCCUGGUGUAGCGGUGAAAUGCGCAGAUAUCAGGAGGAACACCGGUGGCGAAGGCGGUGGUCUGGGCCGGAACUGACGCUGAGGAGCGAAAGCUAGGGGAGCGAACAGG